UAGGGAAUCUUCCGCAAUGGACGAAAGCCUGACGGAGCAACGCCGCGUGAGUGAAGAAGGUCUUCGGAUCGUAAAACUCUGUUAUUAGGGAAGAACAAAUGUGUAAGUAACUAUGCACGUCUUGACGGUACCUAAUCAGAAAGCCACGGCUAACUACGUGCCAGCAGCCGCGGUAAUACGUAGGUGGCAAGCGUUAUCCGGAAUUAUUGGGCGUAAAGCGCGCGUAGGCGGUUUUUUAAGUCUGAUGUGAAAGCCCACGGCUCAACCGUGGAGGGUCAUUGGAAACUGGAAAACUUGAGUGCAGAAGAGGAAAGUGGAAUUCCAUGUGUAGCGGUGAAAUGCGCAGAGAUAUGGAGGAACACCAGUGGCGAAGGCGACUUUCUGGUCUGUAACUGACGCUGAUGUGCGAAAGCGUGGGGAUCAAACA
rnacentral:rRNA from 1 species